UAGGGAAUCUUCGGCAAUGGACCAAAGUCUGACCGAGCAACGCCGCGUGAGUGAAGAAGGUUUUCGGAUCGUAAAACUCUGUUGUUAGAGAAGAACAAGGACGUUAGUAACUGAACGUCCCCUGACGGUAUCUAACCAGAAAGCCACGGCUAACUACGUGCCAGCAGCCGCGGUAAUACGUAGGUGGCAAGCGUUUUCCGGAUUUAUUGGGCGUAAAGCGAGCGCAGGCGGUUUCUUAAGUCUGAUGUGAAAGCCCCCGGCUCAACCGGGGAGGGUCAUUGGAAACUGGGGGACUUGGGUGCAGAAGAGGAGAGUGGAAUUCCAGGUGUAGCGGUGAAAUGCGUAGAUAUAUGGAGGAAAACCAGUGGCGAAGGCGGCUCUCUGGUCUGUAACUGACGCUGAGGCUCGAAAGCGUGGGGAGCAAACAGG
rnacentral:rRNA from 1 species